rnacentral:rRNA from 1 species
GAUGAACGCUGGCGGCGUGCUUAACGCAUGCAAGUCGAACGGUGAAAGCGGGAGCUUGCUCCUGCUGGAUCAGUGGCGAACGGGUGAGUAACACGUGAGCAAUCUGCCCCGAACUCUGGGAUAAGCGCUGGAAACGGCGUCUAAUACCGGAUACGACGCGCGACGGCAUCGCCUGCGCGUGGAAAGAACUUCGGUUCGGGAUGAGCUCGCGGCCUGUCAGCUUGUUGGUGAGGUAACGGCUCACCAAGGCGACGACGGGGGGCCGGCCUGAGAGGGUGGCCGGCCAACCUGGGACUGGGACACGGCCCAGAAUCCUACGGGAGGCAGCAGUGGGGAAUAUUGCACAAUGGGCGCAAGCCUGAUGCAGCAACGCCGCGUGAGGGACGACGGCCUUCGGGUUGUAAACCUCUUUUAGCAGGGAAGAAGCGAAAGUGACGGUACCUGCAGAAAAAGCACCGGCUAACUACGUGCCAGCCGCCGCGGUAAAAC